AGUAGUGUUGUAUAUGAAGAACAUCGCCCAGAACCAUCCUCUCAAUCCUCUCCUGUGGUGUGUGUGGUAGCAGUACUCAUGUGUAAAGAUUGGUACCAGCAGAACAAAGUGCCCAGUAAACGUAGAUACAGGUGUAAGGAAGAUUUGGUUAUUUUUGUUUCUGUUCUUUUAAGACUCCAUGAAUUUGAUGAACAAGUGGCUGCUGUCCGGGAAGGGAUGGCUCGAGUUGUGCCUGUACCUCUUCUCUCUCUUUUCACUGGAUACGAAUUGGAGACAAUGGUAAGUGGCUGCUCUGUGCUGCCAAGAGCUGCCUUGAUACACUAGCCCGCUCGUGUGGUCUCUACUUAAACCUUCCAUGUGGAAAGCUAAGGCUGGACUAUGAUAGUGAAUGAAAUGACAGCACAGUUUGCCCGCGGGGUGCUGAGGUUCAGAGGGGCACACAUGUUCUCCUGAGAUUGUAGGAAUCUCAUUACGGAAAAAGAGGAUUAGAUGUAUAUUGAAGUGACC
rnacentral:lncRNA from 1 species